rnacentral:rRNA from 1 species
GUAGGGUGCAAGCGUUGCCCGGAAUUACUGGGCGUAAAGAGUUCGUAGGCGGUUUGUCGCGUCGUUUGUGAAAACCAGCAGCUCAACUGCUGGCUUGCAGGCGAUACGGGCAGACUUGAGUACUGCAGGGGAGACUGGAAUUCCUGGUGUAGCGGUGAAAUGCGCAGAUAUCAGGAGGAACACCGGUGGCGAAGGCGGGUCUCUGGGCAGUAACUGACGCUGAGGAACGAAAGCGUGGGUAGCGAACAGGAUUAGAUACCCUGGUAGUCCACGCCGUAAACGGUGGGCGCUAGGUGUGGGUUCCUUCCACGGAAUCCGUGCCGUAGCUAACGCAUUAAGCGCCCCGCCUGGGGAGU